GAACGCUGGCGGCGUGCCUAAUACAUGCAAGUCGAACGCUUUGUCUUUAAUUGAUCUGACGAGCUUGCUCUAAUUUGAUUUUAUCUGACAAAGAGUGGCGAACGGGUGAGUAACACGUGGGUGACCUACCUCUUAGCAGGGGAUAACAUUUGGAAACAAGUGCUAAUACCGUAUAAUACCAACACACCCGCAUGGGUUGUUUGGUUUGAAAGGAUGGGUUCUGCUAUUCACUAAGAAGAUGGACCCCGCCGGUGCAUUAGCCUAGUUGGUAAAGGUAACGGGCUUACCAAGGCCAAUGAAUGCAUAGCCCGAGUUGAGAGACUGAAUCGGCCACACCAAUGGGACUGGAGACACGGUCCCAUACUCCUACGGGGAGGCGGGCAGUAAGGAGAAUCUUCCCACCAAUGGGGCGCAAGCCUGAUGGGAGCAACGCCGCGUUGUGUGAUGAAAGGGUUUUCGGCUCGUAAAACACUGUUAUAAGAGAAGAACGGCACUGAGAGUAACUGUUCAGUGUGUGACGGUAUCUUACCAGAAAGGAACGGCUAAAUACGUGCCAGCAGCCGCGGUAAUACGUAUGUUCCAAGCGUUAUCCGGGAUUUAUUGGGCGUAAAGCGAGCGCAGACAGUUAUUUAAGUCUGAAGUGAAAGCCCUCAGCUCAACUGAGGAAUGGCUUUGGGAAACUGGAAUGACUUGAGUGCAGUAGAGGAAAGUUGGAACUCCAUGUUGUAGCGGUGAAAUGCGUAGAAUAUAUGGGAAAGAACACCAGUGGGCGAAAGGCGGCUUUUCUUGGACUGUAACUGACGUUGAAGGCUUUCGAAAGUGUGGGUAGCAAACAGGAUUAGAUACCCUGGGUAGUCCACAACCGAUAAACGAAUGAUUGGCUAUGAUGUUCUGAUGGGUUUUCCUUCCCUUGGGUGUCGCAGCUAACGCAUUAGCACUCCGCCUGGGGGUUCGCCCACGG
rnacentral:rRNA from 1 species